rnacentral:rRNA from 1 species
GUAUUAAAGGCACGCCUGCCCAGUGAAAAAUUAAACGGCCGCGGUAUCCUAACCGUGCAAAGGUAGCACAAUCAUUUGUCUAUUAAUUGUAGACCUGUAUGAAAGGCAAAAUGAGAGCCCAACUGUCUCUUAUAACAAAUCAAUUAAACUGAUCUCCUAGUACAAAAGCUAGAAUACUAACAUAAGACCAGAAGACCCUGUGAAGCUUUAACUAACCUAUUAAAUCCAAUAAUAGCUACUUUAGGUUGGGGCGACCUUGGAAUAAAAAAGAACUUCCAAUCUAUGACUUCCUCAUAAAUAAGGCGGACAAGCCAACACUAGACCCAGCAUAGCUGACAAUUGAAACAAGUUACUCCAGGGAUAACAGCGCUAUCUUCUUUAAGAGCCCAUAUCAAAAAGAAGGUUUACGACCUCGAUGUUGGAUCAGGACACCCCAGUAAUGCAACCGUUACUAAAGGUUCGUUUGUUCA